rnacentral:lncRNA from 1 species
UUUAGGGUAUGACAGUUGCCCCUAUUUAAACAUCUUUAACUAGAGGAUAUGAAGAACUCUUCUUUAAAUCAUCAUGGUGAAAGAUAGUUUAAAUACUAAACAGACCCAAAUUUUGCCCUUUAAUGUAGAAGAAUGAUAUGCUGAUGAUUAUGACCGAAUGCACUUGGAUUUAAGAAAUACUCUUGAUUUCUUAAUCAACAGACAAUAAUGCAAAUGAAUGCAACGAGAUUUAAG